rnacentral:rRNA from 1 species
UAGGGAAUCUUCGGCAAUGGACGAAAGUCUGACCGAGCAACGCCGCGUGAGUGAAGAAGGUUUUCGGAUCGUAAAACUCUGUUGUUAGAGAAGAACAAGGACGUUAGUAACUGAACGUCCCCUGACGGUAUCUAACCAGAAAGCCACGGCUAACUACGUGCCAGCAGCCGCGGUAAUACGUAGGUGGCAAGCGUUGUCCGGAUUUAUUGGGCGUAAAGCGAGCGCAGGCGGUUUCUUAAGUCUGAUGUGAAAGCCCCCGGCUCAACCGGGGAGGGUCGUUGGAAACUUGGAGACUUGAGUGCAGAGGAGGAGAGUGGAAUUCCAUGUGUAGCGGUGAAAUGCGUAGAUAUAUGGAGGAACACCAGUGGCGAAGGCGGCUCUCUGGUCUGUAACUGACGCUGAGGCUCGAAAGCGUGGGGAGCAAACAGG